CCCUUAGAUGUUCUGGGCCGCGCGCACGCUACACUGAUGCAUUCAACGAGUUUCUUCCUGGUCCGAGAGGAAUGGGUAACCUUUUGAAAGUGCAUCGUGAUAGGGAUAGACUAUUGCAAUUAUUGGUCUUCAACGAGGAAUUCCUAGUAGACGUAGUUCAUCAGACUGCAUCGAUUACGUCCCUGCCCUUUGUACACACCGCCCGUCGCUCCUACCGAUUGAAUGCUCAGGUGAGCCAUUCGGACUUUCAUCAUGCUGGUUUCCAGUUUUGAUGAAGGAAAGUCUUGCGAACCUUAUCAUUUAGAGGAAGGAGAAGUCGUAACA
rnacentral:rRNA from 1 species